ACUUUGACUAACUGGACCCAGCUAUUCUCCUAUAUAAGUGUCUCUGCCCUCCUGGAAGACCAGAACUGUGUCCACUAAGCCCCAACCCCAUAAAUCGUCGGGGAUACCAUCCAAACUUAAAAGAAAAUACUGUCAAAAUAUCCUCCAACUUUGACUAACUGGACCCAGCUAUUCUCCUAUAUAAGUGUCUCUGCCCUCCUGGAAGACCAGAACUGUGUCCACUAAGCCCCAACCCCAUAAAUCGUCGGGGAUACCAUCCAAACUUAAAAGAAAAUACUGUCAAAAUAUCCUCCAACUUUGACUAACUGGACCCAGCUAUUCUCCUAUAUAAGUGUCUCUGCCCUCCUGGAAGACCAGAACUGUGUCCACUAAGCCCCAACCCCAUAAAUCGUCGGGGAUACCAUCCAAACUUAAAAGAAAAUACUGUCAAAAUAUCCUCCAACUUUGACUAACUGGACCCAGCUAUUCUCCUAUAUAAGUGUCUCUGCCCUCCUGGAAGACCAGAACUGUGUCCACUAAGCCCCAACCCCAUAAAUCGUCGGGGAUACCAUCCAAACUUAAAAGAAAAUACUGUCAAAGUAUGUUUGUACUACAUGUUUAAUCCUACACUUCUCAACUGUGUGCCUAGUCUACCUACUUGCCCAGGACUGCCAGCAGCCAACAGCACCAGUCCCCAUCAACUAUUUGACCAGACCCUCAUUCUUUGCACUGCCAUCACUACCAUUGUUAUUCCCAUCUCCUAUCCUUUAAUACUACUUUUUCCCUUCCCAUUCCCUUUUUUUUACCCCUUCCUUUACCUCCAUACAACUGAAUCUAAACCUUUCGACCACUAGGUGGCACCCUUCUACUUCUAUGUUUUCCUCCCUUUCUGCUCUUUGCCACACUUGCUGGUUACACUGAUCUCUACCUGUAUCUUUUACUCUCUUAGUUACACUUUUCU